GAUGAACGCUGGCGGCGUGCCUAAUGCAUGCAAGUCGAGCGAACAGACGAGGAGCUUGCUCCUCUGACGUUAGCGGCGGACGGGUGAGUAACACGUGGAUAACCUACCUAUAAGACUGGGAUAACUUCGGGAAACCGGAGCUAAUACCGGAUAAUAUAUUGAACCGCAUGGUUCAAUAGUGAAAGACGGUUUUGCUGUCACUUAUAGAUGGAUCCGCGCCGCAUUAGCUAGUUGGUAAGGUAACGGCUUACCAAGGCAACGAUGCGUAGCCGACCUGAGAGGGUGAUCGGCCACACUGGAACUGAGACACGGUCCAGACUCCUACGGGAGGCAGCAGUAAGGAAUCUUCCGCAAUGGGCGAAAGCCUGACGGAGCAACGCCGCGUGAGUGAUGAAGGUCUUCGGAUCGUAAAACUCUGUUAUUAGGGAAGAACAAAUGUGUAAGUAACUAUGCACGUCUUGACGGUACCUAAUCAGAAAGCCACGGCUAACUACGUG
rnacentral:rRNA from 1 species